AAGUCGUAACAAGGUUUCCGUAGGUGAACCUGCGGAAGGAUCAUUACCGAAGUCAAGGCCCCUUCGGGGGCUAAACUUCCACCCUUUGUUUACCUUACCAUUGUUGCUUUGGCGGGCCGCCUUAGGCCACCGGCUCUCGAGCUGGUGCGUGCCCGCCAGAGACCCCCAAACCCAAAGCAUAUUUAGUGUCGUCUGAAAACAAGUUUAAAUUAUUUAAAACUUUCAACAACGGAUCUCUUGGCUCUG
rnacentral:misc_RNA from 1 species